rnacentral:rRNA from 2 species
UCAUUUAGUGGGGCACUCGUKAGGGGCCWGCCGGUGAUAAGCCGGAGGAAGGUGGGGAKGAUGUCAAGUCUUCAUGGCCCUUACGGGCUGGGCUACACACGUGCUACAAUGACGGUGACAGUGGGCAGCUACACAGCGAUGUGAUGCUAAUCCCUAAAAGCCGUCKCAGUUCGGAUUGCACUCUGCAACUCGGGUGCAUGAAGUCGGAAUUGCUAGUAAUCGUAGAUCAGCACGCUACGGUGAAUACGUUCCCGGGCCUUGUACACACCGCCCGUCACACCAUGGGAGUUGGUUCUACCCGAAGCCGGUGCGCUAACCGCAAGGAAGCAGCCGACCACGGUAGGGUCAGCGACUGGGGUGAAGUCGUAACAAGGUAACC